GCAUUUUGAUAUAAAAAUAGUUACAGUAAUUAUUAUGACAUUGGAGUUCAACUCAGAGUCUCCAUCUCUUAACUCAAGUUGCCUCCUAACCAUGGGGCUGCAAGUUCUCGCCAGCAUAGUCCCUUCUCCAAAGCUAAACCUCUCAAGUGUGACGGCCAUCAACAACCACCUCUGCAACACCUUGCACCAAAUUGAAGCUGCUCUUUCUAGUAGCAAUGACAAUGCCACCAAUGCCCUUCUAUUUCAUUGUCCCCUUUCUCCACAAUUUCUUUUCGUUUCAAUUCUUUUGUUGGUAUAAAUUAUAAAAAUAAUAAAAACACGAAAUUGCUAAAAUUAAGUCUGGACAAAAUUCUGUGGCUCGAUUCAAAGCCCUAAAAUUCCCUCACCCCCAAAUGCCCCAACCCAUAUCACAAUUGACCUAGGAGAAUAUAAAGAUGCAAACAGUGAAACCUAAAAUCAAACUUGAGAAGGAAAAUUGGAAGACAAUAAGCUUACAGAUUAACGGGAGAAGCAAAAGCAAGGCACCACCUGCAAGACCUCCUCAGCAGCGGGUUUGACCUUCUCAAAAUUCCAGUUCAAGAUUCGUCUUUCACGCACCACAAUGCAACAGGGUUUUAGGACUUUUC
rnacentral:lncRNA from 1 species